rnacentral:misc_RNA from 1 species
CUAAGGAUAAGCUAAGUGACAGCAAUGUUGCCUAGCGUUACGGAAGACUACACAGGCUUGCUUUUAUUCGUUCAGUUUUGAGAGGUUUACUCUCAAAACAUUUCGUUCAUUGAAAACUGGAUACAGAAAAUAAACAAACAAACCGAGAAAAACACCGCGUUGAAUGAGUUUUUUAAUAGUUCAAUUGCUUUUUUUAUUGGUCGGACUUCUAUCGCUAGAAGAGAAGAUCAAGAACCAACCGUAAGGUUGAUAA